CUAUUCUGUCCCGUUUUCAACAAAGUGACCCAAAUUGUUGUUUGCAUCGGAUUCAUCAUUUAAGGAUUGACAAUGCGAAGUUUGGUGCCUGACUUUCAAGGGCAAUAAGAAUCGUCACGCAAAUGCUUUGUCCUGCACGCGUGCAUGAGCGAUGACGGGCCACAAUGUCGGAGGAAAGGGCAACGAGUGACUUGAAUUCACCAUCCGGGAUGUCCUGCGGUAACCCGGACGCGCGCGUAUUUUGCCCGACGCCAACAUAGAGACGCAAGGUCCAGAAUCCUCUCAGGAAACUUGCGAGCGUGUCGGCGAUUGUUGCGACGGGAUCGAAAAGGUCGAGAGGACGUGAGGGGCAGCGAGGACGUCGCCCUGCGGACAGCGCGCCUGCUGCUCGGCUUCUGGACCGGGACGCGACGCCGGAGUCCGCAUCCGAACAGGUCAGAGGUCGUUUUGUGGCGGUUUUGAUUGAGGCCCAGCGGCGCGCUCAAAUGACCGACUGCCCGUGUGUGCGCGCGCCCUUUUUUGUCAUGUGUGUGCAUCGAAAGUAUUUGGGUGUCCUACGCCCAUCAUGGAAUCAUCCACAUCAAGCGGGAAAGGUUCUCUUAAAAACAAAACCAAAAGGUGUUUUUCAUGAUUUCUUCCUCCAUUUUUAAUAGUCAUCCAAUUUUGCGUUGCUCCACCAGACUACUACUCCCAAGAUUUUCAGUUCGGAUGGAUAUAGUUCCAUAUAUGCGUGAAUGGACGCAACAGUGAAGCCACCGACGGCCAUUUUACGUUGCCGCACUUGAAGGCGUUGAUUUCUCGCUGGCGUUUUCACAUUCUUUUUCCAUCUCUGCGGUGGUUUCAGGCCCCAAACGUCUUUUUCUGCACAAUAACUUUUGACUCUCUGAGGUCUUUUUUUAUCUGUGCUCCACAUGUUGUUCCCACUGGCCGGCCACUUCACCGCUCGACUGUCAUCCAGUUUGUCACUUAAAAAAAAAAAUUCAAUAUGCUACUUUGUCAAAGAAAUAAAGCUAGAUGACAAAGAACA